AUUGCUUCUUGGCCUUUUGGCUAAGAUCAAGUGUAGUAUCUGUUCUUAUCAGUUUAAUCUGUUACGUCUGACUACACAUUAAGCAGAUUUUUAGAACAGUGAGUCGGGAGAGGGGCUUUCUCCUUCCAUUCCACACAUUGACCCAGUAUUGCAGUGCCUUUGGGAGUGGUUCUCACUAG
ensembl:snRNA U2 U2 spliceosomal RNA